UACGGAGGGUGCAAGCGUUAUCCGGAUUCACUGGGUUUAAAGGGUGCGUAGGAGGGCAGGUAAGUCAGUGGUGAAAUCUCCGAGCUUAACUUGGAAACUGCCGUUGAUACUAUCUGUCUUGAAUAUUGUGGAGGUGAGCGGAAUAUGACAUGUAGCGGUGAAAUGCAUAGAUAUGUCAUAGAACACCGAUUGCGAAGGCAGCUGACAAAACUAUUAUUGACGCUGAUGCACGAAAGUGCGGGGAUCAAACAGG
rnacentral:rRNA from 1 species